rnacentral:rRNA from 1 species
CCCUCCUGACGAUGGCAUUGCUUCGGACGCCGGCCGGCCAAGUAGCCGAUCGUGUAUUCUUGCAGAUUUCGCCCUUACGGGAGGCAGCAGCAAAGUAUUUUUCCCCAUUUGGGCGCAUUUUUUUUUUUGUGCAACACCCCGGCGGAGGACGACGGCCUUCGGGUUUUAAAUUCCUUUCGGGUGGGACGAUUUCGACGUUACCACCAGAAGCAGCCCCGGUUAACUUUGGGCCAGCAGCCGUGUUAAGACAGAGGGGGCAAGUUUUUUCCGGAGUUACUGGGCGUAAAGGGCGCGGAGGCGGUCCUUUUGCGUCGGCGCUUAUAUCCCCCUGCUUUACGUUUUGAUGGCUGUGCCGAUAUCGCGUAGGUUCUAGUUCGAGCAGUGUGUGAGGUGUGAGCUUUCGUCGAGGAGCGUUGGAAAACGUGGAGACGAACCGGUGGGUACGCCCAGACAUGUCUCUCAGAGUAUCUGCGUACAUAUACAUGUGUCUCUGUGUCUCUCU